GGCCCGUUGGUCAAGUGGUUAAGACACCGCCCUUUCACGGCGGUAACAUGAGUUCAAAUCUCGUACGGGUCA
rfam:Lactobacillus jensenii JV-V16 chromosome, whole genome shotgun sequence.